rnacentral:rRNA from 1 species
AACGAACGCUGGCGGCAGGCUUAACACAUGCAAGUCGAGCGCCCCGCAAGGGGAGCGGCAGACGGGUGAGUAACGCGUGGGAAUCUACCCAUCUCUACGGAAUAACGCAUGGAAACGUGUGCUAAUACCGUAUACGUCCUUCGGGAGCAAGAUUUAUCGGAGAUGGAUGAGCCCGCGUUGGAUUAGCUAGUUGGUGGGGUAAAGGCCUACCAAGGCGACGAUCCAUAGCUGGUCUGAGAGGAUGAUCAGCCACACUGGGACUGAGACACGGCCCAGACUCCUACGGGAGGCAGCAGUGGGGAAUAUUGGACAAUGGGCGCAAGCCUGAUCCAGCCAUGCCGCGUGAGUGAUGAAGGCCCUAGGGUUGCAAAGCUCUUUCACCGGUGAGGAUAAUGACGGUAACCGGAGAAGAAGCCCCGGCUAACUUCGUGCCAGCAGCCGCCGUAAUAC